GGUACUCGAGUGGCGAACGGGUGAGUAACACGUGAGUAACCUGCCCUUGACUUCGGGAUAACUUCAGGAAACUGGGGCUAAUACCGGAUAGGAAUCCUUGCUGCAUGGUGGGGGUUGGAAAGCUUCGGCGGUUUUGGAUGGACUCGCGGCUUAUCAGCUUGUUGGUGGGGUAGUGGCUUACCAGGGCUUUGACGGGUAGCCGGCCUGAGAGGGCGACCGGCCACAUUGGGACUGAGAUACGGCCCAG
rnacentral:rRNA from 1 species